UACAGAGGGAGCUAGCGUUAUUCGGAAUUACUGGGCGUAAAGCGCACGUAGGCGGCUUUGUAAGUAAGAGGUGAAAGCCUGGAGCUCAACUCCAGAACUGCCUUUUAGACUGCAUCGCUUGAAUCCAGGAGAGGUGAGUGGAAUUCCUGGUGUAGCGGUGAAAUGCGCAGAUAUCAGGAGGAACACCAGUGGCGAAGGCAGGCUCG
rnacentral:rRNA from 1 species